UACGUAGGGUCCGAGCGUUAAUCGGAAUUACUGGGCGUAAAGCGUGCGCAGGCGGUUCGUUGUGUCGGCGGUGAAAGCCCCGGGCUCAACCUGGGAAUGGCCGUUGAAACUGGCGAACUGGAGUGUGGCAGAGGGGGGUGGAAUUCCGCGUGUAGCAGUGAAAUGCGUAGAGAUGCGGAGGAACACCGAUGGCGAAGGCAGCCCCCUGGGCUGACACUGACGCUCAGGCACGAAAGCGUGGGGAGCAAACAGG
rnacentral:rRNA from 1 species